CAAACCAUGAAAGGAAAUAAUAUUUCUCGCCAUUUCAGACGAGUAACAACAUUUAUUCAAAUCUAAUACUAAUCCACUACUUAGCAACAAAGAAUAAACUCCAAUCUUGGUGACAGGUGAAGCUUUCUUAUUCCCCAACUUGAUAAUCCAUGGAGCAUUAGCCCGUAUAUUUAAUUAGUCGUUUUUUGAUCACUUAAUUAGUUCUUGAUCAAUACUAAUUAAAUAAUACUAUUAAUAUAUUAGAAUUUAUAAUAUAUUAAUAAACCACAAGUGUUAUUUCUCUCAUUUAUUCUAACCAAAUGCAUGAUGCCAGGCAACCUAAAUGGACCAUGUAGGGUCGGGUCAAGUACAUACCAGAAACAGUUAUGGACUUAGACACCUUAUCCAACAACAGUUUCAUACAUGCCAUCACAAGGUAAUGGUUUAAAAUAACGAACAUUAUUAAAGAAAGCAUUAAUACCACCACAUUCAUUAUCAAACGAAAAGGUAAACCCUUGUUUGUACAAACCAUGAAAGGAAAUAAUAUUUCUCGCCAUUUCAGACGAGUAACAACAUUUAUUCAAAUCUAAUGUAAACCCAUUACUUAGCAACAAAGAUUAAACUCCAAUCUUGGUGACAGGUGAAGCUUUCCUAUUCCCCAUGAUUAAGUUUAUCUUCCCAUGCUCCACAUUCUCACUUCUUCUUAGUCCCUGCAAAUAAGUACAUAUGUGAACACCACAACCUGUAUCAAGGACCCAAGAAUUAGAAUGGGGUGAAUUAUUAGACAGAAUAGUGUAUAUACAUGCAUGAUUGGGUUUAACUUUCCCAUCCUUCACAUCUUGUUGGUACUUUGGGCUGUUUCGUUUCUAGUGCGACUUUUUAUGGCAAUAGAAGUAUUCUGCCUCUUUAAGGUUAGUAGAAGGAGUGAUGAAACCUUUCUUGGUUCCACUUGAAGAGGAUCCAUCAAGGGUCUUCCCCUUGGUGCCCUUCGAAAGGCUCUUCCUCUUCUUUCCUUUGCCUUGCCCGAUUGCCAAGACAAGGGCCGCAGUAGGAGUAGGAGUGGUAACAACCGAUUUACUCUUAAGACCAGUUUCUGCGGUCUUUAAGAGUCCUUGAAGUUUGCUAAGUGUAACUUCCUCCUUGUUCAUGUGGUAUGUCAUGCGGAAUUGAUCAUAACACGAAGGUAAGGAGUGCAAAAUGAUGUCAAUUGCCAACUCCUCUGGGAAGUUCACAUUCAGUUUCAACAAACGGUCCACAUACCUUUCCAUUUUCUGCAUGUGGCCCGUGAUGGGUUCACCAUCUUCAUCCGGGUUGUUAUCAUGGAGGAGAUAAUUUCAUAUCGC
rnacentral:lncRNA from 1 species